rnacentral:rRNA from 1 species
GGGGAAUAUUGCACAAUGGGCGAAAGCCUGAUGCAGCGACGCCGCGUGAGCGAAGAAGUAUUUCGGUAUGUAAAGCUCUAUCAGCAGGGAAGAAAAUGACGGUACCUGACUAAGAAGCACCUGCUAAAUACGUGCCAGCAGCCGCGGUAAUACGUAUGGUGCAAGCGUUAUCCGGAUUUACUGGGUGUAAAGGGAGCGUAGACGGUUGUGUAAGUCUGAUGUGAAAACCCGGGGCUCAACCCCGGGACUGCAUUGGAAACUAUGCAGCUAGAGUGCCGGAGAGGUAAGCGGAAUUCCUAGUGUAGCGGUGAAAUGCGUAGAUAUUAGGAGGAACACCAGUGGCGAAGGCGGCUUGCUGGACGACAACUGACGCUGAGGCGCGAAAGCGUGGGGAGCAAACAGG